ACUCUGUGUGCAGAUAUCAGUUUGACCUGAUGCCAUCCCAGCAGCACACCUGGGACUGCUGUCAUCUCGUGAAAGUGAUGAGCUCCCUGAUAUGCACAAGGAGGGCACUCUAACCCAUGAGUUCCAGGAAGAAGAUGAGACACACGUGGGCAGAACCACCCCCAGAGAAGUCUAGCCCAGAUGCUUCAAACCCCAGACUUGGUAAUAUGAUCUACAUCUUGCACAUGAAGAAGCUUGAGACAUCAAGCAAUUUGCCCAAGAUCUGCUGCAAGGAAGUGCCCAAGCCAAGGUUCUAAUCCAGGAAAUCUGAUGUCGAAGCCCGUGCUUUCUAACCCAGGCCACGCUGCCCCUUCUUGUUAAUUCCUCUUCAUCCUAUUUUCCACUGUCAUUCUUCUCCCCUUCCACAGGCAGGGGAAGAAAAAAAUAUAUUUUUAUUUGACUAUAUUUUUGUAAAAUGUGGACAGUUUGAUAUAAGUUACUUUCAAUUUAUCUGAAUUAUAUUUUAUUUCCUAUCUUAUUCUGUUAAUUUUUUCACUAAGUAUUUUUAAGAACAUUCUAUGUUACUAUGUGUUCAUCUAAUGUGUUGUCCCUUCACUGUUACAUCGUUUCCACUCACCCCAAAUUUCCUGUGCCCUCUUCAGUAAUGAACAACCUGUACACUCCAACUUCUGACCACAAGUUACGCCUGCAUGAAAAUCCUCAGACGUGGUUCCUUAUGGCCCUGGUGAGAAAUUGCUGAACACAAGGAGCAGAAUCACUGGGCCAUAGGGAAUGUUUUAUCCACUGGACUAAAUUGCUUUCCACCAUGGUUUACACUAUUCCAGCAGGACUCGAAGGCACAGCUCUACCUAUUGUCCUGUCUCAAUUCUGCCAGCCCAAUAAGUGCAAAUUGAUGACUUUUGAAAUUUGCAUUUCUCUAAUUAUGAAUGAUUUGGGAUGUUUCUCCAUUUGCUGGUUUCUGUUUUCGAGUUUCCUCUUUUAUAAAUUACCCCUUCAUAACCUGC